rnacentral:rRNA from 1 species
GAAUUACUGGGCGUAAAGCGCACGCAGGCGGUUUGUUAAGUCAGAUGUGAAAUCCCCGGGCUCAACCUGGGAACUGCAUCUGAUACUGGCAAGCUUGAGUCUCGUAGAGGGGGGUAGAAUUCCAGGUGUAGCGGUGAAAUGCGUAGAGAUCUGGAGGAAUACCGGUGGCGAAGGCGGCCCCCUGGACGAAGACUGACGCUCAGGUGCGAAAGCGUGGGGAGCAAACAGGAUUAGAUACCCUGGUAGUCCACGCCGUAAACGAUGUCGACUUGGAGGUUGUGCCCUUGAGGCGUGGCUUCCGGAGCUAACGCGUUAAGUCGACCGCCUGGGGAGUACGGCCGCAAGGUUAAAACUCAAAUGAAUUGACGGGGGCCCGCACAAGCGGUGGAGCAUGUGGUUUAAUUCGAUGCAACGCGAAGAACC